rnacentral:rRNA from 1 species
UACGUAGGUGGCAAGCGUUGUCCGGAAUUAUUGGGCGUAAAGCGCGCGCAGGCGGUCCCUUAAGUCUGAUGUGAAAGCCCACGGCUCAACCGUGGAGGGUCAUUGGAAACUGGGGGACUUGAGUACAGAAGAGGAAAGUGGAAUUCCACGUGUAGCGGUGAAAUGCGUAGAGAUGUGGAGGAACACCAGUGGCGAAGGCGACUUUCUGGUCUGUAACUGACACUGAGGCGCGAAAGCGUGGGGAGCGAACAGG